ensembl:lncRNA
GUGAAUCGGACUCAGACAGUAGUAAUGAAUCGGACUCAGACAGUAGUAGUGAAUCGGACAGACAGCACAGUAAUGAAUCAGACACAGACAGUGGUAAUGAAUCGGACAGACAGUGACAGUGGUAAUGAAUCGGACAGAAAGACGAAUCAAAUCGGACAGACAGUAGUAGUGAAUCGGACAGACGGUAGUAAUGAAUCGGACCGACAGUGGUAGUGAAUCGGACAGACAGUGGUAGUAAAUCGGAUAGACAGUGGCAGUGAAUCGGACAGACGGUAGUAGUGAAUCGGACAGACAGUAGUAAUGAAUCGGACACAGACAGUAGUAGUGAAUCGGACAGACAGUAGCAGUGAAUCAGACUCAGACAGUAGUGAUGAAUCGGACAGACAGCAGUAAUGAAUCGGACAGACAGUAGCAGUGAAUCAGACUCAGACAGUAGUGAUGAAUAGGACAGACAGCAGUAAUGAAUGAGACACAGACAGUGGUAAUGAAUCAGACAUAGACAGUGGUAAUGGUAAUGAAUCGGACAGAGAGUGGUAAUGGUAAUGAAUCGGACAGAAAGACGAAUCGAUUCGGACAGACAGUAGUAGUGAAUCGGACAGACAGCAGUAAUGAAUCGGACAGAAAGACGAAUCGAUUCGGACAGACAGUAGUAGUGAAUCGGACAGA